rnacentral:ncRNA from 1 species
CCUACCGCAAAGUUGGGAUCCGAAGGAAGCCGAAGGCAAACUCCAGAUCCUAUGAACAGGAACCGCGUACGAGGCAGCCACAUCUGGGCGAGGAGGCAAUGAGAUCCAAAGCCCGAUAGUCACCCGGAAGGUGUGGAAGUAUAUGCGGCGAUAUAUGGGAGGAAGGUCACGCGUC